rnacentral:rRNA from 1 species
UGACUCUCGGCAACGGAUAUCUCGGCUCUUGCAUCGAUGAAGAACGUAGCGAAAUGCGAUACUUGGUGUGAAUUGCAGAAUCCCGCGAACCAUCGAGUGUUUGAACGCAAGUUGCGCCCGAAGCCAUUAGGCUGAGGGCACGCCUGCCUGGGUGUCGCA